AACGAACGCUGGCGGCAGGCUUAACACAUGCAAGUCGAACGCCCCGCAAGGGGAGUGGCAGACGGGUGAGUACCGCGUGGGAACAUACCCUUUCCUGCGGAAUAGCUCCGGGAAACUGGAAUUAAUACCGCAUACGCCCUACGGGGGAAAGAUUUAUCGGGGAAGGAUUGGCCCGCGUUGGAUUAGCUAGUUGGUGGGGUAAAGGCCUACCAAGGCGACGAUCCAUAGCUUGUCUGAGAGGAUGAUCAGCCACAUUGGGACUGAGACACGGCCCAAACUCCUACGGGAGGCAGCAGUGGGGAAUAUUGGACAAUGGGCGCAAGCCUGAUCCAGCCAUGCCGCGUGAGUGAUGAAGGCCUUAGGGUUGUAAAGCUCUUUCACCGAUGAAGAUAAUGACGGUAGUCGGAGAAGAAGCCCCGGCUAACUUCGUG
rnacentral:rRNA from 1 species